UGAAACACCGGUUCCCGUACGAUCACCGAAGUUAAGCAACGUCGAGCCUGGCUAGUACUUAGACGAGUGACCGCUUGGGAAUACCAGGUGCUGUAAG